rnacentral:rRNA from 1 species
AUUGAACGCUGGCGGAAUGCUUUACACAUGCAAGUCGAACGGUAGAGGGGGCAACCCCUCGAGAGUGGCGAACGGGUGAGUAAUAUAUCGGAACGUGCCCAGUCGUGGGGGAUAACGUAGCGAAAGUUACGCUAAUACCGCAUACGAUCUAAGGAUGAAAGCGGGGGAUCGCAAGACCUCGCGCGAUUGGAGCGGCCGAUAUCAGAGUAGGUAGUUGGUGGGGUAAAGGCUCACCAAGCCAACGAUCGGUAGCUGGUCUGAGAGGACGACCAGCCACACUGGAACUGAGACACGGUCCAGACUCCUACGGGAGGCAGCAGUGGGGAAUUUUGGACAAUGGACGCAAGUCUGAUCCAGCAUUCCGCGUGCAGGAUGAAGGCCCUCGGGUUGUAAACUGCUUUUGUACGGAACGAAAAGGUCUCUCUUAAUACGGGGGACUCAUGACGGUACCGUAAGAAUAAGCACCGGCUAACUACGUGCCAGCCGCCGCAGUAA